CGCGCAGGCGGUCUGAUAAGUUAGGCGUGAAAGCUCCCGGCUAAACCGGGAGAGGUCGUCUGAUACUGUCGGACUAGAGUAUGGCAGAGGCGUGUGGAAUUCCGCGUGUAGUGGUGAAAUGCGUAGAUAUGCGGAGGAACACCAGUGGCGAAGGCGGCACGCUGGGCCAAAACUGACGCUGAGGCGCGAAAGCAUGGGUAGCGAACG
rnacentral:rRNA from 1 species